rnacentral:lncRNA from 1 species
UGUCCAGGGCACGUGUCCUUCUCCACCUGUCACCCCAAACAGGCUCGUGAGCUGGACAUGGCAGGCAUCAUUUACCUUGAUAAUUACGUCAUCAUCACUGGACACAGGCGUGUAAGCCCUGACCACCAAGACACCGUCGGCUUUGGCCAAGAGGUGAACAUAGUUCAAGCUCUUCAAUGCCAACGGGAGCGCCGCGACCCCAACGACAGGGACGGGUCCUACUGGACACAACGUGAGCAGGGUGGCUCGGGUCCUGCCGGCCCUGCAGGAUGGCUCUCGGGCAUGGCGGCACCCUCCCCACGCCAAAGGCACGCAUGAAGCUGUUCUGAAGGAAACUAGGCGGAGGUAAAGAUACUAAAACAGGAGGCGGGCGGAGUCUACGGUGGACCCGGCGGGUCGGGAGGGGCCGGCUGCAGAUCAGACUAAAGGAGACGUUUCAGCUUCCCAGGCAGACGGCCCGGGAGUGCUAAUGCCACCAGGCCUUUGCUGCCAUCUGUCUCCAUCCUGGCUACGGCCAAGGGUGCAAGCCCUGAAAGUCACCCUUUGAGGUGAGGGGGUGAGGACACUGCUCCUAAUACACAAUUCGGGAUGAAGACGCCAACCCCCAGGGGCAGAGCUGGGGGACGAGCUGCUGAGAGCCAGGAGGGAUGGGGCUUGCCUCCCCCGGUGCCCUUCUGAGUCUGGUGGGGGCAGGAGUGGGGUGGGGGGGGGACCUCUGUUGCNNNNNNNNNNNNNNNNNNNNNNNNNNNNNNNNNNNNNNNNNNNNNNNNNNNNNNNNNNNNNNNNNNNNNNNNNNNNNNNNCCCCCGCCACAGCUUUAGCAGAAGGAAACAUAAAUCUUUAAGAAUCCAAAGAUAAGAAAGGAAGCUACUGGGAGUUCCCGUCGUGGCUCAAUGGUUAACAAAUCUGACCAGGAACCAUGAUGUUGCGGGUUCAAUCCCUGGCCUCGCCCAGUGGGUAAAGGAUCCGGCGUUGCCGUGAGCUGUGGUGUAUGUGCAGACGAGGCUCAGAUCCCAUGUUGCUGUGGCUCUGGCGUAGGCUGGUGGCUACAGCUCCAAUUGGACCCCUAGCCUGGGAACAUCCAUAUGCUGCAGGAGCGGCCCAAGAAAAGGCAAAAAAAAAAAAAAGAAAGAAAGGAAGCUACACACAAGCAAAAAUCCAGCUGGGACCAAGAUGGCCUCAAAUCUGACCUCCGACAGACCUUGAGUCUCAUCAUACCUUGAUUUUCCUCCAGUAACAGGUUAGAAGACGCACCUACCAGUGGCGGCCACCAGGUAUCAAGGACCAAAUAAGGAUAAAAAGGGGUGGCACCCCACUCCCUGGAAAGUCCUGCCCCUUCCAGGGCUGGCACAGGCAGCCCUGGUGUGGACAUUUUUUAGUAUCUCUUAUGCAGAAUAAAGCUUAUGCUUCCUCAUCAUGAGCCUCAUUCCUCCCCUUUCAUCUUUAGUCUUUAAAAUUAAGUCCGUCUUGCAAGGUGGGUAAGAUGCUGAUCUGUCAACCUAGUUCCCACUUUUCUAUUCCUUGACCACCGAGUAAAGCUUAUGCUACACUGAUCUCAGCUUGGGUUUCAUUAUUCACCUACUUGAACCUGAACAGAAAAAGAACCUUCCCCAAACCGAGGUGGAGGGCCUCGGCUACACCAGGGCCUGAGCGGCAUCUCUCCAUAUGACUUAAUUCAGCAACGAAAUUUUGUGUCCAACGUGGGGCCCCUUCCAUCUCGUAACUCAAGACCUGCCUCCUGCCCCAGGGCUGACAAAGCCGGCUAAAUCACUGGGCAGCUGGUCCCAGUUCUUUACCUCUGGGCCAGCCAGCGAGGGCCCCUAAAUUGAGCCUGAGGUCCCAAAGCAGCCAGGGUUCAAGUGCAGCGCUCCCCAGGUAAAGACACGCCCUCACUCCCAGCAUGUCUACAGUAAGGAUGCUGGCUAGAGACUGGGGUAGUGUCUGGGGGACGCCCGGCACUGGACACGCUGACUCCACUUCAGCCGAUAAAGCUGGGGUGCCGAAGGGCUUGGCUGGUCAAGGGAAAGGACCCUGGGCGUCUGGUUGGAGCCAGACCUCUGUCUAGAGGACUGGACCAGGGGGUUGGUUGUCUAAAUGGAGCCAGUGUUAUGGUAAGGGGGGGGCAAGAUUGGGCAAUUGGUUACCUGGUUGGACUGGCUCCUGGCAAAGGGGACAGGACUGGACAGACUGGAUGGGAAGCCCUCCGAGGCUGCCUGCCCUACGGUCAGCACAUCUCUUCAUGGGUGUCAUAAGCCUUAGCCUCUGUUCUUGAUACGAAUGAGGCUUCCAUCUCUGUCCUACGUGGCCUUGACUGUCCUACUGCUCUUGGAAACACCUGCUGUGACUGCGGGCGUGGGUUGAGCACGGCCAGGCCACUAGGGUGCUCAGCACGGAAGACUCCUGUGAAAGGAGAGGCUGGUCCUGGACCAGGGUGGAAGAGGAGCAGGCACCCUACAGAUUAGAAACAAAUGUUUGUGUAAGUAGGUGUGACGUAGACACUCACAGCCCACCCCCGGGGCGUGCCCACCUCCAGGGGACGGUCAGAAAUCCAGAAGCACGUCUCUCCUAUGGGUUCCUCUUGCUCUAGCCUGCCAUCCUGGGGCAAAGGUGUGCGUCUCCGCAGGAUGGGGGCUCUCCCAGGACGCUCCUCACAGAUCCCUAGGGAUCCUUCCUCUGAGACACAAGCCCUUUAAAAUCCUGAUUUUGCCAGGCUUCAGGAACAUCGCUUUGUCUAACCGGGGAAGGAAGAAGAGGGACCCCUGAUUGCCGGAGUCCCUGGGUCCCUGUGGCUGCGAGCACAGGACAGGUGUGCAUUCAGCCUCCCUGUCUGAUUACCUGUAACUGAGCAGGGUCAAGCCCUCCUUGAUGCCAGAGAGGCUUUCUGGGCAACUUCUCUGAGUAGAGAGCCCCUGUUUCCACCAUCCCCCCGUACCCUACCUCUGGGGACUGCUUGCUGAAAGCACGCACCCACAUCCGGCGCCCCCUGCAGCCCCGCAGUGGGCCUGGGAACGUCCAGGCAUUGACUUAAAAGGGGUCCAGGUUUCAGCCAGAGCACCUAGAAACCUCAGCGUGGACCAGAUCUUGUGAGACCUGCAUUGCCACCAACCCUAUGAAGAAGCCACUAGGAACCAACUAGAUUUAAGAACCCCUCCGUGCUGCCCCGGCAUCACUCAGCUCCAUUCUCCAAGGCUGGAAAUUCCUCGAGGGUCACCCCUAACAAAGAGCUUAGUUUCUUUUGCAACACCACGUGGCCCCAGGACAAAGCGGCAGAGGGAAGAAGUUGGCUCUCUGAAUUGCAGUCAGUUUUUCAAUUGGACCUCUGUUG